UACGGGGGGGGCAAGCGUUGUUCGGAAUUACUGGGCGUAAAGGGCUCGUAGGCGGCCAACUAAGUCGGGUGUGAAAUCCCCAGGCUUAACCUGGGAACUGCAUCCGAUACUGGAUGGCUUGAAUUCGGGAGAGGGAUGCAGAAUUCCAGGUGUAGCGGUGAAAUGCGUAGAUAUCUGGAGGAAUACCGGUGGCGAAGGCGGCAUCCUGGACCGAGAUUGACGCUGAUGCGCGAAAGCCAGGGGAGCGAACGGG
rnacentral:rRNA from 1 species